AGAGUUUGAUCAUGGCUCAGAUUGAACGCUGGCGGCAGGCCUAACACAUGCAAGUCGAGCGGUAGCACAGAGAGCUUGCUCUCGGGUGACGAGCGGCGGACGGGUGAGUAAUGUCUGGGAAACUGCCUGAUGGAGGGGGAUAACUACUGGAAACGGUAGCUAAUACCGCAUAACGUCGCAAGACCAAAGUGGGGGACCUUCGGGCCUCAUGCCAUCAGAUGUGCCCAGAUGGGAUUAGCUAGUAGGUGGGGUAACGGCUCACCUAGGCGACGAUCCCUAGCUGGUCUGAGAGGAUGACCAGCCACACUGGAACUGAGACACGGUCCAGACUCCUACGGGAGGCAGCAGUGGGGAAUAUUGCACAAUGGGCGCAAGCCUGAUGCAGCCAUGCCGCGUGUGUGAAGAAGGCCUUCGGGUUGUAAAGCACUUUCAGCGGGGAGGAAGGCGUUAAGGUUAAUAACCUUGGCGAUUGACGUUACCCGCAGAAGAAGCACCGGCUAACUCCGUGCCAGCAGCCGCGGUAAUACGGAGGGUGCAAGCGUUAAUCGGAAUUACUGGGCGUAAAGCGCACGCAGGCGGUCUGUCAAGUCGGAUGUGAAAUCCCCGGGCUCAACCUGGGAACUGCAUUCGAAACUGGCAGGCUAGAGUCUUGUAGAGGGGGGUAGAAUUCCAGGUGUAGCGGUGAAAUGCGUAGAGAUCUGGAGGAAUACCGGUGGCGAAGGCGGCCCCCUGGACAAAGACUGACGCUCAGGUGCGAAAGCGUGGGGAGCAAACAGGAUUAGAUACCCUGGUAGUCCACGCCGUAAACGAUGUCGAUUUGGAGGUUGUGCCCUUGAGGCGUGGCUUCCGGAGCUAACGCGUUAAAUCGACCGCCUGGGGAGUACGGCCGCAAGGUUAAAACUCAAAUGAAUUGACGGGGGCCCGCACAAGCGGUGGAGCAUGUGGUUUAAUUCGAUGCAACGCGAAGAACCUUACCUGGUCUUGACAUCCACAGAACUUUCCAGAGAUGGAUUGGUGCCUUCGGGAACUGUGAGACAGGUGCUGCAUGGCUGUCGUCAGCUCGUGUUGUGAAAUGUUGGGUUAAGUCCCGCAACGAGCGCAACCCUUAUCCUUUGUUGCCAGCGGUCCGGCCGGGAACUCAAAGGAGACUGCCAGUGAUAAACUGGAGGAAGGUGGGGAUGACGUCAAGUCAUCAUGGCCCUUACGACCAGGGCUACACACGUGCUACAAUGGCAUAUACAAAGAGAAGCGACCUCGCGAGAGCAAGCGGACCUCAUAAAGUAUGUCGUAGUCCGGAUUGGAGUCUGCAACUCGACUCCAUGAAGUCGGAAUCGCUAGUAAUCGUAGAUCAGAAUGCUACGGUGAAUACGUUCCCGGGCCUUGUACACACCGCCCGUCACACCAUGGGAGUGGGUUGCAAAAGAAGUAGGUAGCUUAACCUUCGGGAGGGCGCUUACCACUUUGUGAUUCAUGACUGGGGUGAAGUCGUAACAAGGUAACCGUAGGGGAACCUGCGGUUGGAUCACCU
rnacentral:rRNA from 50 species